rnacentral:rRNA from 1 species
UUUUUUACUUUUUUUAAUAGUCUUUAUAUCGCUGUCUUUAGAUAUAAAUCUUAACUUAUAUCUCUAAAAAUCUAUUUUCUAAGUCAAGUCGAGAUAAAACCUAUAAAAAAGGGAGCCGAGUUACUUAUACUUUUAUUUAGGCUUAAAUAUCCAAAAAUAUUUAAAUUUAGGAUUUGAAAGUAAUAAAUCAAUAAUCUUCUUUUAUGAAACAGUAUCUUAGGUGUACAUAUCGCCCGUCACCCUCGUCCAAAGAUGAGGUAAGUCGUAACAUAGUUAAUAUACUGGAAAGUGUAUUAAGGG